rnacentral:rRNA from 1 species
CAGCAGCCGCGGGAAUACGAGGGGGGCAAGCGUUGUUCGGAAUUAUUGGGCGUAAAGGGUGCGUAGGCGGUUUGUCAAGUUUGGUGUGAAAUCUUCGGGCUCAACUCGAAGUCUGCAUCGAAAACUGCCGGGCUUGAGUAUGGGAGAGGUGAGUGGAAUUUCCGGUGUAGCGGUGAAAUGCGUAGAUAUCGGAAGGAACACCUGUGGCGAAAGCGGCUCACUGGACAAUAACUGACGCUGAUGCACGAAAGCUAGGGGAGCAAACAGGAUUAGAUACCCCUGUAGUCCCUGUCUCUUAUAC